GUAACAAGGUCUCCGUUGGUGAACCAGCGGAGGGAUCAUUACUGAGUUUACGCUCUACAACCCUUUGUGAACAUACCUAUAACUGUUGCUUCGGCGGGUAGGGUCUCCGUGACCCUCCCGGCCUCCCGCCCCCGGGCGGGUCGGCGCCCGCCGGAGGAUAACCAAACUCUGAUUUAACGACGUUUCUUCUGAGUGGUACAAGCAAAUAAUCAAAACUUUUAACAACGGAUCUCUUGGUUCUGGCAUCGAUGAAGAACGCAGCGAAAUGCGAUAAGUAAUGUGAAUUGCAGAAUUCAGUGAAUCAUCGAAUCUUUGAACGCACAUUGCGCCCGCCAGCAUUCUGGCGGGCAUGCCUGUUCGAGCGUCAUUUCAACCCUCAAGCUCUGCUUGGUGUUGGGGCCCUACAGCUGAUGUAGGCCCUCAAAGGUAGUGGCGGACCCUCCCGGAGCCUCCUUUGCGUAGUAACUUUACGUCUCGCACUGGGAUCCGGAGGGACUCUUGCCGUAAAACCCCCAAUUUUCCAAAGGUUGACCUCGGAUCAGGUAGGAAUACCCGCUGAACUUAAGCAUAUCAAUA
rnacentral:rRNA from 1 species